UACAGAGGGUGCGAGCGUUAAUCGGAAUUACUGGGCGUAAAGCGUGCGUAGGCGGUAGCGUAAGUCAGAUGUGAAAGCCCCGGGCUCAACCUGGGAACUGCAUUUGAGACUGCUCUGCUCGGGUGCGGAAGAGGGAAGCGGAAUUGCGAGUGUAGAGGUGAAAUUCGUAGAUAUUCGCAAGAACACCAGUGGCGAAGGCGGCUCACUGGCCCGGUACUGACGCUGAGGUGCGAAAGCGUGGGGAGCAAACAGG
rnacentral:rRNA from 1 species